AGGGCAUGGUGCCCUGGCUGUACGGACACACAAUUGAGUAAAAGUUGUCCUUAAACUUCUUGGUAGAGUUCAUGUCUUGAGUGUGACAUCUUCAACAUCUUGGCAGAAUUCGAUGGAGAAUGCAUCUUCCAUUUUCGUUCGCCAGACUGGACGAAUCUUCAAGCAGAAGAUACAGUGGCGUUGAAGGGAGAUUCAAAACUGUUACAAAUGAGGAAAUAGAGAAAUUUUUCGACUCCAGGCAAGCAAAAUCAACAAAAAGAAAUACAGCAUGGGGAUUUUUCAAGAUUGGAACAUGGAGAUCUAUGGUUCUGUACUAAUGGUGCAACAUUAGACCUGCAAACAGCAAAUGUG